AUACGUAGGGGGCGAGCGUUGUCCGGAAUUAUUGGGCGUAAAGCGCGCGUAGGCGGCCGGUUAAGUCCUGUGUGAAAGACCACGGCUCAACCGUGGGGGUGCACGGGAAACUGGCCGGCUUGAGUGCAGGAGAGGGGAGCGGAAUUCCCGGUGUAGCGGUGGAAUGCGUAGAGAUCGGGAGGAACACCAGUGGCGAAGGCGGCUCCCUGGCCUGUAACUGACGCUGAGGCGCGAAAGCGUGGGGAGCGAACAGGAUUAGAUACCCUGGUAGUCCACGCCGUAAACGAUGAGUGCUAGGUGUUGGGGGCGUCAGGCCCUCUGUGCCGAAGGAAACCCAAUAAGCACUCCGCCUGGGGAGUACGGCCGCAAGGCUGAA
rnacentral:rRNA from 1 species